rnacentral:lncRNA from 1 species
ACCUCGGCCGGCCCUCAGCAACCCCAAGCUCAAGGGGUUGCGGCUCUGGCAAGGGGAGCUCCGCGGGUUAGGGAGAGGGGCGCCCUCUUUCCCCUCCCUCCAGGUCGACCGCGGCGGGGAUCCAGCUCCACCCGUAGGACACGAACCGCACGCAGUGACCAGCUCGAGUUUCCGAGCCCAUUCCAAUUGCUCCCGCCAAGCACAGGGAUCCCGCGAACCUCCGCACAAAGCCCGAGGCGAGCGCGCCUUGCCAGCCCACCUCCAGAGCGGAUCCGCGAAGUACGGCCCGGCCGGGGUCCCUGGCCCACCUGGGAGCCGAGCUCGCGCCCGCCGGGGGGGAGAAAGCCGGGAAGGGGAGAAGAGGAGCCGUCGGUCCUGGGGGCCGAGGACUGGGACUUUGUAGGCCAGUUGAACCAACACCCUCAUCUCGCCCGCAAAGACCCAGCCCUCAGCUCCCGCGCGUCUCGGACUCGGGCUGCGUCCCGACGGGCUCCCUCGAGCGAGAUCCGGCCCGCUUUCCACGCGCUCUGCUCGGCCGAGACUCUGCGUUUUCCCCCAGCGGCGUCCCCCAAAGGCGGCAUCCGGCUCGCCCGACCUCGACCCGCGGGGCUCCGAGACCAGCCCCCGAAGGGUUACACGACGCCUGGCGCGCCGCGGCGCCCAGGCCACCCCCGGGCUGCCCCGGCGCAGGCCGAGGGACAGUGCGGGGUGGGGGAGGUGCGGGGACCCAGCCUUCCCCCAUCCUCCACCCGCCGCCCAGCGCAAGAGUUACACGCCGAGAAACUUCGCCACGAUCCCACGCCGCGCCCGCGAGGCCCAGCUCCGCGCCGCCUGGGUUACCUGCGCUCUGAUCCGCCGGGCGCAGGGCCGGCCGGGCCGCUCGCAGUGCAGGCCGCGCCCUCCUGCACCGCCGAGCCCGCGCCGCCACCGGGGCUCAGGGGGAGCAGCCGCCAGCCCGGCCCGGCGCCCCGACGUUCCGGACGCCCCACACGCGCCGGGCCGGGGGCCGAGGCCCGGGGCCUCGCUCAACCUGUCCGGGACCUGGGGGCCGGCGCCGCCCCCUCCCCAAGGAGCGCGAGCCCGGCGCCGCGGGGAGAGGAGCGGGGCAGCAAGACCCUUCGAAAGUUGGGGGAGUUCCGCCCGCUUGCGGCGCGGCCCGAGCUGGCUCCACGUGCUGGUGACACAUCAGGAAGGCUGCGCGCCCCGCGGCUCCCGGCGGGCGGACGCGGCCAGCGCCCGCCCGCACCGCCUCCCGGAGCCAAGCGGACGCGCCCCGCCCCGGCCCGCCCUCCGCCCGCCUCUCGGCGGCGCCGCCCCCGCCCCCGGCCGCGGAGCCCGCUCCAGCCUGCGGCACCCGCGGAGGACACCCGGGCUGGGGGUGGGGACCCGGGCGGCCCUCUCGCGGGCUGUCUGAGCCGCCCCGGGGAUCGAUUCCGGGCGCGGGCUGCCCGACUCGACAGUCUCGAGUGCCUUCCACGCAGUCACGCAGCCCUUCCCGCCCCCGAGCUCCAGUAA